ACCCCGUACUUCGAAGAAACACUGUUAAAUUUGAAUGUAAGAAUGUCGAGUUACGACUAGGUAAAACAACUUUGGAGUAUGAGGAAUGAGGCAUUAUUAAGUAUAUUGUUUAAAUAAUGGAUGAUUAUGAUCUUGUAAGUCAUAAUCGGGAAAGAGUAUUUUAAAACACAAGAAUAUGGUCAUUAUCAUGUAUAAUAAGUGAUAAAUAUCAUGUAUGGAGGGUUUCGGAAUAUUUCGAGAUCGAGCAAGUUGAAGAAAAUAAGUUCGACGAAAAUUUGAGAAAUGCUGGACAGAUUUUUAGUCAACUUUGGAGGGGUAUAUCUCUAUGCAUAUUUGGAGUUUUAAGGCGUUUUAAAAGCCUAAAAUGAAGUUCGUCAAGUCUAGUUUAUGAUUCAACAAACCACUCAUCGAUAGGACGUCGGAGUAGAGAAUUAUAGACGCUACAAACUGAACUGUCGCGCAGAAACAGCACUGCUACAGUACGCUACAGCACUGCUACAGUACUGUAGCUACAGUGACGCCGUUUCAGCCCUUAUAAAAAGGGGCAAACCCCCAUUUUUAUCAUCUAAAAACUUCUCAAAUUUUCCAGAAAAUUCAGCAACAAAAAGGGGCCUAAAUCUCACAUAAAAGUGAGGAUUGUGAGUGAAAUUUCAAGCUACGAAGUACUAAUCGAAGUCCGGACUACGCAUAAUCACGAAUAUAAUUUUGUUUGGAGUUAGAGGAGCAUGGGAACAAUAAGAUGUUGAAGAAUUUGCUACUUUCAUAAAAACAAGGUAAGAAUCAAUUCCUUUUUCUUAUGUUAUGAAGGUUUGUUUGUGUUGUAGUAUGUAGAAAUGAGUAGAAUUUAUGGAAAUGUGGAAGUUUGCAAAGUGGGUAUGUAUAUAUAUUAUAUAUGUAGCCAUGGGUGUAUAUAUGUUGUAUACAUAUAUGAGUUGAAUUUUAAGUUGUAUACUAGUUGUGGUUAUUGUGGAAUUUGUAUUGGAAAUGGAAGUUGAAUGAAAAUUGGAUGAAAUUGGAAAGAAGCCAUGUUGGCCGUGUGGUAGAUUGUUGUUGGAGAUGAAUUAGUAAGUAGAAAAUGUGUUGGAAUGGUUUUGUUGCAUAUAUAAGAAUUUUGGAUUGAAUAUGGAAGUUGAUGGAAUUGUUGAAUAUUGAAUAUAUAGCUUGGAAUACUUUUGGUUUAUGUUUGAAUGGUCUUAUAUUAGUAUGUGAAUAUGAAAAUAUUGAUAUCGGGUUGUAAGUGCAAAGUUGGAUUUGGAAUUGUCGCAUUAUUUGGAAAAUAAGACUAUUUACGCUAGAAUGCGUUCCUAGUCGAUUAUUGAUGUUGUAUAUAUUGUUGUUGGUAUGGUUGUUGUUUUAGCCGAGUUUUAACCUCGGGGAUGAUAUAUAUAUAGGGGAGAUGCUGCUCAAAUUUUUAUAGACAAGAAUUGGUUAAGGUUGAAAUUUUAAGUCUUAUGAAUAGUAAAUUGGUAAAUGUGACCAUUUGUAGGUUUUGGACGAAACGGGAUUUGAGUUUUGGCAAGCGUAAAGGGCAAGAAAGGUACAGACUACAGAUUUGCUGACCCACCUGCCUAGGACACCUAUUCUGCUAUUCUGGAGCGCUCUUUUGUCCAGAGCCUAUACUCUGGUACAGUCUGCUGCUGUUGGAUAUAUGUACGUUAUUCAGGGGUACGACGGGGCCCUGUCCUGUCUUAUGUUUCUGUUAUGUUCUGUAGAGGUCCGUAGACAUACAUGUGGGUUCUGUAUAUGUUUUGGGUUGCUAUGAUUUGUGAUAGCCUUAUCGGCUUCCAUGUGUUAUAUAUGUUCCUCUAUGACACUAGUAAUGUCGACUGACUUUUAUAUUUAUAUAAUCUGCUAGUCUGCUGGUUUGGAUUA